rnacentral:rRNA from 1 species
GCUGGCGGGUGCUACCAUGCAAGUCGAACGAAGUAUAUUUUUCGGAAUAUACUUAGUGGCGGACGGGUGAGUAACGCGUGAACAAUCUGGCCUAUACAAAGGAAUAGCCUCGGGAAACCGGGAUUAAAACCAUAUAACACUUUUGAGUCGCAUGACAUGGAAGUCAAAUUGAUUAAGAGGUAUAGGAUGAGUUCGCGUCUGAUUAGCUAGUUGGUGAGGUAAUGGCUCACCAAGGCGACGAUCAGUAGCCGGCCUGAGAGGGUGAACGGCCACACUGGAACUGAGACACGGUCCAGACUCCUACGGGAGGCAGCAGUGGGGAAUAUUGCACAAUGGGCGAAAGCCUGAUGCAGCGACGCCGCGUGAGUGAAGAAGGUCUUCGGAUCGUAAAACUCUGUCCUUGGGGAAGAUAAUGACGGUACCCAAGGAGGAAGCCCCGGCUAACUACGUGCCAGCAGCCGCGGUAAUACGUAGGGGGCGAGCGUUGUCCGGAUUUACUGGGCGUAAAGGGUGAGUAGGCGGUUAUUUAAGUCAGAUGUAAAAGGCGUAGGCUUAACUUACGUAAGCAUUUGAAACUGGAUAACUUGAGUGCAGGAGAGGUAAGUGGAAUUCCUAGUGUAGCGGUGAAAUGCGUAGAUAUUAGGAGGAACACCAGUGGCGAAGGCGGCUUUCUGGGCCACGACUGACGCUGAGGCGCGAAAGCUAGGGGAGCGAACAGGAUUAGAUACCCUGGUAGUCCUAGCCCUAAACGAUGAUUGCUUGGUGUGUUGGGUACCCAAUCCCAACGUGCCGAAGCUAAA